GUCACUGAUGUCACUAAAUGGCCAAAUCUGAUUGGUCAUAGAUUCAUAGAGGGACUACAAGGGUCAUCUAAGUCCAAUCCCACAAAAUGCAGGAAUCUUUGGGCCCAUGUGGGGUUCAAACCCACUACCUGGAGAAUAAGAGUCUCGUGCUCUACCAACUGAGCUAUCCCAGCUGGUCAUGUGGAUAAAUGAGAUCAUAGUGCUCAUUAUGUGAUUCUCGAGGUCAUAAAGGCCUUUUGAACCAUCAUCCCAACUUGUUACCAGUUUUCCUGCCAGCCAGGUGCUGAUUUGGGAAGGAUUCUAGAGGAAGAGGACAGUGGAAACAGCCGUGGCUAAUUCACUUGAAUCCCAGCUCAUAGACUAGAUAAGGGUGUUGCUGCUGUGGUACCCAAGGCAACACCAAAGGGAUUUAUCACUAGUUGGAUGAAGGUGUCACUUCUUCAAGUUUGUGUUGUUGAAUGUAGUUAUUUGGAAGGAAAGAAAGAGGAGAAUGUAAGGGAUGUAAUAUUGAGAACUGGAAUUGUGUGUGUGUUUUAGUGCCCAAGAGUGAAGGUCUCAGUUGUCAUAUUUUCGUGUGUCAUGAAGUUGCUUAAUAUCACUCAGUGUGAGCAACUGAACUGGUACAGAGUUAGACCAUGCCUGGGGGCGGGGGAGAUGGAGACAGAGUGGCUAUGUUGCUGUUUGUGUGGUAGUGUAUUAUCAUAGAUGGAGGUGGGAAUGAGCUGGUUGUGAAUUAUGUUUAAUGUUGCCAGAGAUUUUUGUACACCAGAUAUAUACUGUGACAAAUGGUUGGCCGGCUGGGGAUUAGCUGCGCUAUGAUAUGGUCUGCGGGAAUGGUAGAGUAUGUGAGAAACUUCAAGGGACAGUUGUUUUGUUUGGAUGCAAAUGAUGCUUUCAUAUCUGAUUUUUUAUUUUUUAUUGCACCUGAUUCUUACUUAAAAUGCUUUUUGAUGUUCAAUAGGAUAGUUUGGCUCCUUCUUAAUUAUGCCGCUCUCAGUGUGGAUCUUUAUGGUAUUUUGUGUUUGCUUUUCACUUGUAAUAUUUUAUUUUGAUAUCUCGUAAUGUUGUAUUCAAUGUUUUCAGAUAUGUUGUAAGCUAGUCCAGUUAUUUCCUAUCUGCUUUGGCCUGUGAUUUUCAUUCUGUAACAAUUUAUGUAUUCAGCAAUGUUUUGAUUUUGUAGUAAAACUGCACCUUCCUUGAUCCUAAGCUCUUGUCUACUGUCUAAGAAACCAAUUCCCCCAUAUACUAGGGUAAAGUAUAAUCUCCCCCUCGGCAUACUGUGACUUUGAGCUGAAAAGUCUUAUUACACAUGUGGCUCACAUGUUCACAUGCAUGCUACAUCAUGUGAUGCAAUGAAAAGUAGGGCUUUUGUGAUUCCCCAGUUUCUUUCCUACAUUGAUGUUCUGCUUUUCUUCCAGUGACUUCAGUGUGCUCCAACCAGCCUUCUCUUCAUGACAACCUUUUUAACUUUGUAUGUUUGCAACAGCAGCCAGGACAAUAAACAUGGAUGACGAGGUGAAGUGGAUUAAACAUGGGUCACAUUUAUUGAAUUAAAUACAACUAAGAUCUACAGCAGGGUUUCCCAAACUUGGGUCUCCAGCUGUUUUGGGGCUACAGUCCCCUUCAUUCCUGAGCAAUGGUCCUGCUAGCUAGGAAUGAUGGGAAGUUUGGGAAACCCUGAUGUUAUGUACUGAUUUGAAUAGGAUCCAAAAGGCGGCAGUCUGAUUGAUCCUAGAACAAUAGGAUUCAGAAUGCAGCAGUCUUACUGGUCCUAGAACAAUAGGGUCCAGAAUGCAGCAGUCUGAUUGGUCCACAGGACCCACCCAAUCCAGCUCCAGGUGGAAGUCAAUCCGCAACCUGAUUGGCCUACAGGUGAAUCCUGGAAUUAGCCAAUCACGUGGGGCCCAUUGUGUAAAUAAUGUAUAUAAAGCAGACGUUCUGGGGGAACUUCCAUUCCUCCUCACCACUAUGAGCUGAAUAAAGAGCAUGAAAUCCACUCUCGACUCCAAGUAUAUUUCACCUGAUCUACAGUGUAAUUAAGGUUGUAGGAAGCUAGCCGUAAACCAAUUUGGUGAAUUAACUCUGGCAGUCAGAAAAUUGGGAUGUUUUAAUGCCACACCUCAUGGAAGACCUAUCCCUAAGUGUGAAUAGGGAGACCAUCUUGGCCCAUUCCCCUCCCAUGGCAACACAACUUACAAGUUAGCUUCAGAGGUGAUUCUUAACCUAUCAGCAGGCCCCACAACUUUUGGAAGGAAAAUUGGGUCCCGCCUUUUCACCUGAGUGGAUGCUAACCAACCCGACCUUACCUUCAGAAUUCCUGCCUUGAGCUUGCCUUUGCAGAUGUUUUGUGUAUGGUCCUGAUCUCACAUUUGUCACUCACAAGCUCAUAAAAUUCAUGCCAUACGGGCUUGUGGUUGCUGAUCACUACUUAACUGCCACAUUUGUUACUUGAAUAAUCCAAGAGAAAAGACAUGUCUUGGCACAAGAGCCAUAAAGUUGUUCCCUGCCUUUUUAAAAAGUUAUAUAAUAAGCGUUGCUAAGCAGAAAGAUAAACUCCAACUUUGUGCUUGCUGAUGGGCCAUCUGGUUCACGUCCUCUUUAAGUCAGCUUUACAAUGCUUCCAUUCAUCUCUCUUUAUGAUAAGGCAAAAGGUAACUGUCAGCGAUGGCUCUGCAAACCAUAUGUCUUCCUGGGUGGCUGCUGAAUUAAAGAUAAUCAGAUCCACAGCAGAAAAAAUAUCCAAUUAAUAGAAUAGAGGCACGAUAAAACUUUCAGACAAGCUAGCUAGGUGCAAAAAAGGUAACUGCAGCUAACAGCUGGGUAGAAAGGGGGGAUUUCAACUGUUGUAGCUCGUAUGAUAUUUUACUCUGUGCUGAAUUGUGGUCAUUUUUUUAAAAAAACAAAUGCAUGGUAGGAAUAGCAGAGACAUUUGAUUCACUUCACAUUUAGAAGCGAGCUUAGCUAAUUUGCACUUUGCAAAUGCAUACUGAUACACAAUCAUCCUUCGACAUCCACACUUUUCAAAAUUGUGCAAUGGAGUUCUCCAGCCAAGUCAGGUGCACAAAAAUGUAUAUAAUCCUGUAAAGUGUACAUCAAAGCGUAUGCAUAUUUGUGAAAGUAAAAAGCAAAAGUGCAUUAGAUAUGGGGAAACUGCUUUGCCAAAAUGUGUAUAUUGGGGGAAAUUGCAUAGAUAAAUAUGUAUAUUAGGAAAAUAUUAUCUCUAAAAUGCUGCUGCAUUUUCAUGAGGAUUCUUUUUUAAAAAAUCACACACGGAUGUGGCUAUGGCGAGUAUCCAGCUGCAAAUAUACAACUAAGGUGAUGACAACUACACUUCCUGCAUGUGAAUGUGAAGAGGAGGUUUCUUUGACAGGUGCCCCAGACCUCCCAUCUGCUGAAGACUCACCAAAAGACUGAUCUUAAGGCUCUUUUGGAUGUUUUAUAGAGUUGUUUCAGACUAUCUUUGGUUACUGUUAUUUAUAUAUGUGUUACAUUACUUUGAAUUUCAUCACUUGAUUAUUACCACAUUUUGUCCACCCUGAACUCCUAAAAAGAAUAAAAUGAAAGAGGAGAGGACACCCUUAAUUCUUCUAGUUACUUGAGAAACCAUCUUAACCCAGUAGGUCACUGCACUUUUCAGUCUCCUUAAAGAAAGCCCUAAUAUAUCAGAAGCUCACUUGAGGGAAACUUGGAGCUGGGCAUUCAAUGUGGUUUCCCCUGUUUUGUGGGAAAGCAUCCCUCUUGAGAUACGGCCCGUGCCUCACUAUUUAUACUUCUUAGAAACAAGUGCCAACAAAGGCCCGUAUAGCUAAAGCUAUGGUUUUCCCAGUAGUGAUGUAUGGAAGUGAAAGCUGGACCAUAAAGAAGGCUGAUGGCCGAAGAAUUGAUGCUUUUGAAUUAUGGUGCUGGAGGAGACUCUUGAGAGUCCCAUGGACUGCAAGAACAUCAAACCUAUCCAUUCCCUGAGUGCUCACUGGAAGGACAGAUCCUGAAGCUGAGGCUCCAGUACUUUGGCCACCUCAUGAGAAGAGAAGACUUCCUGGAAAAGACCCUGAUGUUGGGAAAGAUUGAGGGCACAAGGAGAAGGGGAUGACAGAGGACGAGAUGGUUGGACAGUGUUCUCGAAGCUAUCAGCAUGAGUCUGACCAGACUGCGGGAGGCAGUGGAAGACAGGAGUGCCUGGCGUGCUCUGGUCCAUGGGAUCACGAAGAGUCUGACAUGACUAAGCAACAACAACAACAAAGAAACAAGUGGAGGAUUUUUUUUACAAGGUUUUUCAGUUUUUCAAACCUAUCUUUAGUUUUAAAAUUGUUUUAAAAAUCUAUUUUAGUUGUGUUUAUUGUGUAGUAAAUCACCUUGAGACUCAUGUGCAAGAGGACUGAUGAUGAUGAUGAUACAGUUAGGAUAAAACUUUUCAUUAUUUCUCAUUGCUGUUUCAGGUUUCCAACAUUUAAGCAUGUGGGUUGCACACGCUCUUUAAGCUCAUAGCUUUUAGAAGGCUUUAUUCUAGUCUUCUUGCAUUUUGCUAUCUUACAAUGUUUGAUUGAUGAGUGCUCACCUGUUAUGUAGAAUGAGUGUGCCAUCUGUGUACCUGUACACUCUUUGUUAUUCACAUAUAAUGUUCAAUGUGUGCGCACUCUGUGUACAUGUGAAUAAAACAGUUAAGUUGCACAGAUCAACAAGUAUAUACUCUCCUGCAGAAGCACUUGUAAAGUACAAGUGUAGUGUCAGUACUUGUGUUCAGGGCAACAUGUGUAACAAGCGUUGAUUUAUGGCAGUUUAUUGUACUUGUUCUGUAUAUUUUGUUUUAAUGUGCUACUCACCACUUGGGCAGCCUUUGGGCCCAAAAGCAGUAUAUAAACAAACUGCAUUAAACAAGCAAGCAAACGGAUAGAUGGCUCAUAUAUGAAUGUAUUAAUUUAUUUCCAUUUAAAAGCACUGUGCUCCAGGUGACAUUAAGAGAUUUGAAAGCUGUAAGACAGAUAUGCGAUAUGCAAAUCAGUAUAGGACAUUACAGAGUAAUUUGAGCACUGAAUAUACAUGUGAACUGCUCUUGAAACUGCUCUAGAAUAGCAACAAUAUUUCAGUAUAUGCUUUAUUAUAGUCUGCUAUUAAUAGAGAUGUCAUUAUGAUUUUCCUUCUUUAUACUCACCCUGAGCCUUUGAGAUAGAAAGAGCUUAAAAACAAAACAAAACCUCAGACCAGAUAAAAUACAAUGUAAAAUUGAUGUAAAUAUUUGGUUAUGGAGCAAUUUCUGCAUGUUCUGUAUCACUACAGUUUCCCUUUUAGGAUUUGACAGUGCAUUUUGCUUGCAAUUUAUUUGCAGAAAUCCAUCUUUCGGAAUUCACCGGGGGCUCUGAAAGCGUGUUUUUGUGUGUGCCUGAACCCCAGUUCAAACCAGAAGACCCCUAGAGGCCACCCCGUUCUUUUAACUGUCUGUAAAAGCUAACAUACUUUAUCAUGCCUGCUGUGAAAUGGCUAACUUAAUACACAAG